UUUGAAGCUCACAGCCAUUUCCCAGACCCUGAGCAGAGGAAGAAAGGAGGAGAAACUGAAGACGUGCCCGGGGAGGAAGAAGGGCAGGUCAGAGCUUCCCGGAUCCCACCGUAGAGGGUCUGAAACAGACACAGCCUCAAAGAUGAUCUAAUCCGUCUCUUCUGACAGAUGGAAAAUGAAGACCCAGGGAACAGCAAGGACUGGCUCAGCACCCCUCCGCAGGGUCACUGCCUGCUCCCCACAGGGUCACACGAUAAGCCACCCCAGCCUUUAUCUGGGUGGCCUUGAGUGGGUCCCAGCCUCUCUGCUGGCUCUGCAGGACUUCUUGGAAUCUGGAAGGUGCCAGUGUUCAUGGAGAGUCAGACACAGAUUCCAGGCACUGACCCGUCACCAGGGAUGCUCCUGCCAAGGAGGCACAGCCGCCUGAGCCCGCAGCCAGCAGGCGGAGUGCGGCAGCAAGAACCGGGUGUCAGCCGUUCUUCUGGGCCAUCUCUCCUCCUCGCCCGGCUGCAUCCUGCGCCGCGGGCCAGCCUGCUGGAAGCGUCCGUGGGCUCCCUGGUCCUCUGGGUUUGGUUCGGUGGCUCCAUGGUAAAGAACCAGCCGGCCAAAGCAGAAGAUGUGAGUUCGAUCCCUGGGUCAAGAGGACCCCGUGGAGGAGGAAAUGGCGACACACUCCAAUAUUCUCACCUGGGAAACACCAGGGACAGAGGGGCCUGGCGGGCUACAGUCCAUGGUGUCGCAAAGAAUCAGAUACGACUUUGCA